rnacentral:rRNA from 1 species
CCUACGGGAGGCAGCAGUGAGGAAUAUUGGUCAAUGGGCGCGAGCCUGAACCAGCCAAGUAGCGUGAAGGAUGACUGCCCUACGGGUUGUAAACUUCUUUUAUAAAGGAAUAAAGUGAGGCACGUGUGCCUUUUUGUAUGUACUUUAUGAAUAAGGAUCGGCUAACUCCGUGCCAGCAGCCGCGGUAAUACGGAGGAUGCGAGCGUUAUCCGGAUUUAUUGGGUUUAAAGGGUGCGUAGGCGGGUUAUCAAGUCAGCGGUAAAAUCGUGGAGCUCAACUCCAUCCAGCCGUUGAAACUGAUGAUC